GCCGGGGUGGCGGAACUGGCAGACGCGGGGGACUUAAAAUCCCCUGGGAAAUCCCCGUGCGGGUUCGAAUCCCGCCCUCGGCA
rnacentral:tRNA from 1 species